AUUCUAAAAUUAGUACAAAAGAAAUCAAAUGCAAAACGAAUUAAUUUUUUUAAUAAUACUGACAUCCAUUUUUACAAGCAUUAAACACCGCGCGUCAAGAAUAUUUUCAGAAAAAUUACAAUUUCUUCGUUUUCUGCAGCCAACUUUACUUCUUAAUUCGGUGUUAAAAUCGAAUUUCUUCGUACGGUCGGACGGCAUUUUACUUUAUAAUUAUUUUAACAAUGCAAAAUGGCAAUAAGGUAAUGUCCACUCGUGCUCAUAUAAUUAAGUCACUGCAUGGCAAACUAACGUUUUACAAUAUAAAGUCCUCGAAGUAGAUUUGCAUUUGUAUAAUGGUUUAAAUCUAAUAUUUAGCAAUUAUUCCACUCUGAAUAUGGUAUAUAAUAUUAAGAUUUCCACGAAGUUUGUAACACCUAGAAGGAAACGUCGGAGACCCCAUGAAGUAUAUAAGCCAAUCAGCCGGAAUCGUGGAGGAAGUGGGAGCCCAUCUUUUAAGGCGGGGGUGUUCAGAACGCUGUAACUCAUGUCGGACAAAUUUAUACUAAAAUCAAUAAAUUUUACUACUAUUUACAACUAAUGUCGAUAUAUUUUUGGUACUUCAUUUAUGUAUAGUAAUCGGAAAGAAUCAAAUUCAGAGCGAAGCAGUUAUAU